rnacentral:rRNA from 1 species
UUAGGAAUCUUCCGCAAUGGACGGAAGUCUGACGGAGCGACGCCGCUUGGAGGAGGAAGCCCUUCGGGGUGUAAACUCCUGAACUGGGGACGAAAGGCCUGGAGAGGGGGAUGACGGUACCCAGGUAAUAGCGCCGGCCAACUCCGUGCCAGCAGCCGCGGUAAUACGGAGGGCGCGAGCGUUACCCGGAUUUACUGGGCGUAAAGGGCGUGUAGGCGGUUUGGGGCGUCCCAUGUGAAAGGCCACGGCUCAACCGUGGAGGAGCGUGGGAUACGCUCAAGCUAGAGGGUGGGAGAGGGUGGUGGAAUUCCCGGAGUAGCGGUGAAAUGCGCAGAUACCGGGAGGAACGCCGAUGGCGAAGGCAGCCACCUGGCCCAUUUCUGACGCUGAGGCGCGAAAGCGUGGGGAGCAAACCGGAUUAGAUACCCGGGUAGUCCACGCCCUAAACGAUGCGCGCUAGGUCUUUGGGGUUUCUGGGGGCCGAAGCCAACGCGUUAAGC